rnacentral:rRNA from 1 species
AGAGUUUGAUCCUGGCUCAGGAUGAACGCUAGCUACAGGCUUAACACAUGCAAGUCGAGGGGCAGCAUGGUCUUAGCUUGCUAAGGCCGAUGGCGACCGGCGCACGGGUGAGUAACACGUAUCCAACCUGCCGUCUACUCUUGGACAGCCUUCUGAAAGGAAGAUUAAUACAAGAUGGCAUCAUGAGUCCACAUGUUCACAUGAUUAAAGGUAUUCCGGUAGACGAUGGGGAUGCGUUCCAUUAGUUUGUUGGCGGGGUAACGGCCCACCAAGACAUCGAUGGAUAGGGGUUCUGAGAGGAAGGUCCCCCACAUUGGAACUGAGACACGGUCCAAACUCCUACGGGAGGCAGCAGUGAGGAAUAUUGGUCAAUGGGCGAGAGCCUGAACCAGCCAAGUAGCGUGAAGGAUGAAGGCUCUAUGGGUCGUAAACUUCUUUUAUAUGGGAAUAAAGUUUUCCACGUGUGGAAUUUUGUAUGUACCAUAUGAAUAAGGAUCGGCUAACUCCGUGCCAGCAGCCGCGGUAAUACGGAGGAUCCGAGCGUUAUCCGGAUUUAUUGGGUUUAAAGGGAGCGUAGGCGGACUAUUAAGUCAGCUGUGAAAGUUUGCGGCUCAACCGUAAAAUUGCAGUUGAUACUGGGUGUCUUGAGUACAGUAGAGGCAGGCGGAAUUCGUGGUGUAGCGGUGAAAUGCUUAGAUAUCACGAAGAACUCCGAUUGCGAAGGCAGCCUGCUAAGCUGCAACUGACAUUGAGGCUCGAAAGUGUGGGUAUCAAACAGGAUUAGAUACCCUGGUAGUCCACACGGUAAACGAUGAAUACUCGCUGUUUGCGAUAUACAGCAAGCGGCCAAGCGAAAGCAUUAAGUAUUCCACCUGGGGAGUACGCCGGCAACGGUGAAACUCAAAGGAAUUGACGGGGGCCCGCACAAGCGGAGGAACAUGUGGUUUAAUUCGAUGAUACGCGAGGAACCUUACCCGGGCUUAAAUUGCAACUGACGGAAUCGGAAACGGUUCUUUCUUCGGACAGUUGUGAAGGUGCUGCAUGGUUGUCGUCAGCUCGUGCCGUGAGGUGUCGGCUUAAGUGCCAUAACGAGCGCAACCCUUAUCGAUAGUUACCAUCAGGUUAUGCUGGGGACUCUGUCGAGACUGCCGUCGUAAGAUGUGAGGAAGGUGGGGAUGACGUCAAAUCAGCACGGCCCUUACGUCCGGGGCUACACACGUGUUACAAUGGGGGGUACAGAGGGCCGCUACCACGCGAGUGGAUGCCAAUCCCAAAAACCUCUCUCAGUUCGGACUGGAGUCUGCAACCCGACUCCACGAAGCUGGAUUCGCUAGUAAUCGCGCAUCAGCCACGGCGCGGUGAAUACGUUCCCGGGCCUUGUACACACCGCCCGUCAAGCCAUGGGAGCCGGGGGUACCUGAAGUGCGUAACCGCAAGGAGCGCCCUAGGGUAAAACUGGUGAUUGGGGCUAAGUCGUAACAAGGUAGCCGUACCGGAAGGUGCGGCUG